GUAGCUCAGGAGGUAGAGCGGUCAUCCAAUAACCGGAAGGUUGGCGGUUCGAUUCCCCCCUAAUCCAAGUCUGUCCGUUGUGUCCUUGGGCAAGACACUUAACCCACCUUGCUCCCAGUGUGUGUCCUCCACUGGUGUAUGAUUGUGAGUGUUGUGUGGUGGUGGUCGGAGAGGCCGUAGGCGCAGAAUGGCAGCCACGUUUCCGUCAGUCUGCCCCAGGGCAGCUGUGACUACUAAGGUAGUUUACCACCACCAAAAAAAAGUGUGACUGUGUGAGCGAAUGAAUGAUGUAUCCAAUGUAAAGCGCUUUGAGGGUCUCUGAUAAAGCGCUAUAUGAAAUCUGAUGCAUUA